UUGAUUUUCAUUUCAGGUAUAAAGGGUGAAAAACUGAAAAGUAUCAAUUCUUCAUCUUAUGUUUUACUGCCUAAUAUUACCAAAACUGUAUGAAUUCAACUCUAGUAAAUUAUAUAUAAUGAGUAAAAUUUGAUGUACCCUAAAUACUUUUUACAUGGAAGGUAAAUUAUAAAUUAUCCCAAGACUUUAUGUAAAUUUGUAAUUUGAAUUAGUCUAUGAUCAAUUAUGAACAUUCACAGACAAGUCAAGGUAAACAUAUAAAAAAAAGAAGAUGUGGCAUGAUUGCCAAUGAGACAACUAUCCACAAGAGACCAAAAUGACACAGACAUUAACAACUAU
rnacentral:lncRNA from 1 species